rnacentral:sRNA from 1 species
GAUCUUCCCGAUGGAAUUGUGAUUUUCGAGGAGCUCCGUGCCCAGUGCUUAUAUUUCUUGUUCGGAAACCACCUCGACCCGCAACUUUCCCGCUUUUCGCCGGUUUUUGUUCAAAUUUUCGUCCAGUCGUGCUACGCGGACGCGAAAAAACUCUUCCACGAGCCCAUCAUCGAUCACGGCUUGGAGCAACUUUUAGAUGAAACUCAGGGUCUUGGCCGGAUUUUGGAUAUGCAGGAGCUUGUCGAUGGACCAUCUGUGAUCGGACAGCUGAAAUCGCUGAAAAUGCGAGAUUCCGCGUUGGCAAUGCUUCAUACGGGACAGUUGAAGCGGCGGCGGCUUCUCGAGGACCCGGUUACUGUGGAAAAU